UACGGAGGGUGCGAGCGUUAAUCGGAAUUACUGGGCGUAAAGCGCGCGUAGGCGGCUUGAUAAGCCGGUUGUGAAAGCCCCGGGCUCAACCUGGGAACGGCAUCCGGAACUGUCAGGCUAGAGUGCAGGAGAGGAAGGUAGAAUUCCCGGUGUAGCGGUGAAAUGCGUAGAGAUCGGGAGGAAUACCAGUGGCGAAGGCGGCCUUCUGGACUGACACUGACGCUGAGGUGCGAAAGCGUGGGUAGCAAAC
rnacentral:rRNA from 1 species